GGAGAGAUGGCUGAGUGGUCGAAAGCGACGGUUUGCUAAACCGUUAUACCCUUAACCGGGUAUCGGGGGUUCGAAUCCCCCUCUCUCCGCCA
rnacentral:tRNA from 1 species